rnacentral:rRNA from 1 species
AGAGUUUGAUCAUGGCUCAGAAUCAACGCUGGCGGCGUGCCUCAGACAUGCAAGUCGAACGAUUAAGACUUCCUUCGGGAAGUGCAUAAAGUGGCGCACGGGUGAGUAACACGUAAGUAAUCUACCUUCGAGUGGGGAAUAACAUCGGGAAACCGAUGCUAAUACCGCAUAAUGCAGCGGCAUCGAAAGAUGACAGUUGUUAAAGGAGCAAUUCGCUUGAAGAGGAGCUUGCGGCAGAUUAGCUAGUUGGUAAGGUAAUGGCUUACCAAGGCUUCGAUCUGUAUCCGGUCUAAGAGGACGGUCGGACACACUGACACUGAAUAACGGGUCAGACUCCUACGGGAGGCAGCAGUCGGGAAUUUUGGGCAAUGGGCGAAAGCCUGACCCAGCAACGCCGCGUGAAGGAUGAAGUAUUUCGGUAUGUAAACUUCGAAAGAAUGGGAAGAACUCAAUGACGGUACCAUUUAUAAGCUCCGGCUAACUACGUGCCAGCAGCCGCGGUAAUACGUAGGGAGCAAGCGUUGUUCGGAUUUACUGGGCGUAAAGGGCGCGUAGGCGGCAAAUUAAGUCAGCUGUGAAAUCUCCGAGCUUAACUCGGAACUGUCAGCUGAUACUGAUCUGCUAGAGUGCGGAAGGGGCAAUCGGAAUUCUUGGUGUAGCGGUGAAAUGCGUAGAUAUCAAGAGGAACACCUGAGGUGAAGACGGGUUGCUGGGCCGACACUGACGCUGAGUGCGCGAAAGCCAGGGGAGCAAACGGGAUUAGAUACCCUAGUAGUCC